CUGGCGGCACGCUUAACACAUGCAAGUCGAACGGAGUAUGAAGCUUGCUCAAUACUUAGUGGCGACGGGUGAGUAACACGUGAGCAACCUACCUUGAGAGCGGAAUAGCUUCUGGAAACGGAUGGUAAUACCGCAUGACAUUGCGAAACCGCAUGAUUUUGCAAUCAAAAGAAAUUCGCUCAAAGAUGGGCUCGCGCCUGAUUAGCUAGAUGGUGAGGUAACGGCUCACCAUGGCGACGAUCAGUAGCCGGACUGAGAGGUUGAACGGCCACAUUGGGACUGAGACACGGCCCAGACUCCUACGGGAGGCAGCAGUGGGGAAUAUUGCACAAUGGGCGAAAGCCUGAUGCAGCGAUGCCGCGUGGAGGAAGAAGGUUUUCGGAUUGUAAACUCCUUUUUUCAGGGACGAUAAUGACGGUACCUGAAGAAGAAGCUCCGGCUAACUACGUGCCAGCCGCCGC
rnacentral:rRNA from 1 species